AACAGUGAAUGGUGAAUUCCACAUUUAAGUUAUGUGCUGUUCUGAAGAUAACUUGUACACAAGUACUACAAUACCAUGAAAAUAUCAGGAUGGCGUCUAAGUGACUAAUGGGUGGAUUGUGUACACAAUGUGGAUAGUUUGGAUAAAGGAGUGACAUACAUCUUGGGCAAGAUGGAGUAGCUUCCUGAUGAGCAGUGGAGAAAUCAGUGGUAGCCUACAUCACACUACAAUCUCUUUACCAAUAACCUCACCCUGUGUUGUCAUGAAGAUGUCUCAUCAGCUCAUAAUAUCACAAGAAGAUAUGCCUGAUUGGGGCAAGUGAAUCUCCAGGCAACUGACCCUCAUGCUGGGGAAGAGGAGACCACAGUGCCAGACAGUUGCAUGCAUGCAGCUUGUAAGUUUAGUUCUGUAAGAGACAUGUAGUACUUUGUUUGCUUCCCAUUGGCCAGAACUAGCAAUAUGGCCCCAUUCACUCCAGCGAGUUUGGAAGCAUGGAAGAAUCUCUUUGGUAAGCAACAAGUCUC
rnacentral:lncRNA from 1 species